rnacentral:rRNA from 1 species
GACGGGGGAUGCAAGUGUUAUCCGGAAUCACUGGGCGUAAAGCGUCUGUAGGUGGUUUAAUAAGUCAACUGUUAAAUCUUGAGGCUCAACCUCAAAAUCGCAGUCGAAACUAUUAGGCUAGAGUAUAGUAGGGGUAAAGGGAAUUUCCAGUGGAGCGGUGAAAUGCGUAGAGAUUGGAAAGAACACCGAUGGCGAAGGCGCUUUACUGGGCUAUUACUAACACUCAGAGACGAAAGCUAGGGUAGCAAAUGGG